GUAGGUGGGCAAGCGUUGUCCGGAAUUAUUGGGCGUAAAGCGCGCGCAGGCGGUUCUUUAAGUCUGACGUGAAAGCCCACGGCUCAACCGUGGAGGGUCAUUGGAAACUGGGGAACUUGAGUACAGAAGAGGAAAGCGGAAUUCCACGUGUAGCGGUGAAAUGCGUAGAGAUGUGGAGGAACACCAGUGGCGAAGGCGGCUUUCUGGUCUGUAACUGACGCUGAGGCGCGAAAGCGUGGGGAGCAAACAGGAUUAGAUACCCUGGUAGUCCACGCCGUAAACGAUGAGUGCUAAGUGUUAGGGGGUUUCCGCCCCUUAGUGCUGCAGCUAACGCAUUAAGCACUCCGCCUGGGGAGUACGGCCGCAAAGGCUG
rnacentral:rRNA from 1 species